UAAAAUAAUUUCUGACAACAAAAAAACAAUUUCCAUUCAUCUUCGUUUUUUCCUCGAUCAUCAUCAUCAUCAUCGUUGAAUAUCACACAAAGUAAGUUUCAUUUGGCCAAUUUAUUUCAUUUUCGAUUAUCCAAAAUACAGAAAAAAAUUUCUGUCGUCAUCAUCCGACCAACACGGUUCAUUCACAGUGUUUGGUUUGUUUUGCUGUUUUGAUUGUUGUUGCCCACCACCAUCAUCACUAUAAUCACUAUAAUCAUCAUCAGUGUCCAUUUUCUUCGUCGGCUUCAUAAUUAUUUUAGUUUCAAAUAGAUUGGAAUUGGUCAUGAUUGAUUCUGAGUGUAUUGAUCAUCAAAAUAACUAAAUUCUGUGUCGGUAUUUGUGUGUGAUAAAAUGUGAUGUGAUUUUUCUCCAAUCAAAAAUUUCUUGUGAUUAUCAUCAAGAAAAUCAGAAAAAACAUCCAUUCACAUAGGAUACAUUUUUGGAUUUUGUUUUUUGUUGUUAUUGUCGACGACGACUACGGCCGCCGCUAUUUAUAUGUUUGCCUACUUGUUUAUAGUCGCUGGGUAUUAGCGAAAU